CGGGAGGUUGUUCUGGCGGGCGAUCUUGAGGAUGAACUCGGUGAGCACGACGCAGCAGGUGUCGUUGGUGAAGAGCGCCGACGCGAGCGCGGAGACGACGCAGGUGCGGACGAGCAGGUCCUUGCCGCCCUGGCUGCGCCACGAGAGCGCGCGGCCCAGGUGGCGGAACAUGUCGGCGCGCUCCAGGUAGACGCUGACCACCAUGGUGCCGAAGAGCAGGCCGAGGAUGGGCAGGUCGACGGCGGCGUAGGCCUCGUCGGCGGUGAUGACGUUGAAGAGCACCAUGAGCAUGGCCCCCAGCAGCGACCCCGCCGUGCGGCCGAUGGGCAGGAACGGCACCGCCGGGAACACCGCCAGCACCCAGAAGAUGCCGAACGCCGCCGUCCCCAGCGCCACCUUCACCGUCGGCUCCAUCGCCAUUGCCCCCAGCCCCAAGAUCCAAUUUCUCACUCUGCUUCUUCGAUCUCUACACUACCGAAUCUGCAAGAAUCUCCACUCCUCGAGAGUCGAGAUCCGAUUCAAGGAGAGCGACCUACCUAAUUCUCCACCUAGAAAGAAAUCCGAAAACCAAAAUCCGCAAUCUGUGGCCUAGCGGCAGGAUCAAGAUCUGCAACUACAUGGGCGUGCAGCCAGCUACCAACAAGAACAGAGCUGGACAAGAAGCAGAGCUCAGCUCAGCUCCAACCAACUAAUGGUGGGGGCGCAAGCGGCAAUCAUGCAUGCACCAACAGCCAACAGCACGUACCUACGUACCAAUCCAGAAGCCGCCAGCCUCGUCAGCUAGAAGCCUCCAUCUCCAUGGACGGAUGGAUCCACAGCCAGCCGUGAGGGUCACGCUGAGGACGAAGACGAUGACGAGGAGGAGGGAGGAGCUCGCUCG
rnacentral:lncRNA from 1 species